GUGAACGCUGGCGGUAGGCCUAACCCAUGCCAGUCGAACGGCAGCACCGUAAGAGCUUGCUCUUGCGGGUGGCGAGUGGCGGACGGGUGAGGAAUACAUCGGAAUCUACUUUUUCGUGGGGGAUAACGUAGGGAAACUUACGCUAAUACCGCAUACGACCUACGGGUGAAAGCAGGGGAUCUUCGGACCUUGCGCGAUUGAAUGAGCCGAUGUCGGAUUAGCUAGUUGGCGGGGUAAAGGCCCACCAAGGCGACGAUCCGUAGCUGGUCUGAGAGGAUGAUCAGCCACACUGGAACUGAGACACGGUCCAGACUCCUACGGGAGGCAGCAGUGGGGAAUAUUGGACAAUGGGCGCAAGCCUGAUCCAGCCAUACCGCGUGGGUGAAGAAGGCCUUCGGGUUGUAAAGCCCUUUUGUUGGGAAAGAAAAGCAGCAGGUUAAUACCCCGCUGUUCUGACGGUACCCAAAGAAUAAGCACCGGCUAACUUCGUG
rnacentral:rRNA from 1 species